rnacentral:lncRNA from 1 species
CUGCAUCGCCCUUGCGGCUUUAUUAAACCUCGCCUGUUCCAGCCAGGCUUGACAACGAAUGCCUAGCGUUCCGAGUGCAGAGUAGAUUUGCUAUGCGGGGUCCUGCUGCCCCCCCAGCAGCUCCCCGGGAAAUCCAAGGCUGUUCCAGCCCCCCGGCCCUUUGUGCCGGAGCCCAGCGCCCAGCAAUUGUGCCUCUAAUCAACAGCCUCUAAGCAGAGCUGACAGCCUAGGUGGGGAGAAGAGCCCAUCAAGAGAUGUGAAUAUUUAAUGUACCAACGUUCCAAGUCCAGACAGCCAUGGGAUACAGGCUACAGGGCAAGGUGAACAGAACCACCAGAACCUUCAGCAGCCUGACCCCAAGCCCUCAACCUCACUGAGAUGACUGCUGACCAAACCCUAACAGGGUUCUGCAACACGUGGUGAGUAGGAAAGCAACUGAAGGCCUCUCCUCUUCUCUUAUAAGCCCUGUGUUCGCCAUAUCCUGUCUUCACAGACUACUUGGACCUCGGAACCAUCCAGAUAUAAGCUUCUUUGGCAGACCACACCUGCCCCAUGUCUUCAAAUAACCUACCAGGAUGGAUUACAAACGAUGGCCUUAGACACUGUCUCAUCAACUCCCUUCUAAUCCCUCUGCCCCUUCCCCCGGCCAGCCACCUAUCUUGUCUCUUUCUCCUUUUGUGAAAUAUCAUGGAAUCUUUCACAGCAAAGUCUUGGGAAGUUGUACUGACUCUUCUAGUUGCUGAUCAUGUGGCCUUGGGCAAGUCACAUACCGUCUCUGAGCCUCAGUUUCCAUAUCUGUGAAAUGAGAAUAACAAUAGCGCCUGUGUGCUAGGGCUGUUGCGUCUUAAGUGUGAUACCCAGCAUGCAGCCAUGGCUCAGUAGUGGUGUGCAGUCAUGGCUCACUCCCUCCUCCUCGUCAUCCCGGUCCCCCACUCCUUCCCCCUUCACAGGUUGGGGCUUGUGGACAGAGAUGCAGCCAGAAUACCCCAGGACCUACGAGGAUAUACUAUUCUAGGACUGUCUGUGAAAGACUUGCUCAUUCUAUUCCUGGCCCUGAAGUCAACUGGGAGGCAGGCUCAGGUUCUGGGCUCUGCUGGAGAUGAUCUGCCUCAGGCUGGGUUUGCUGCUAUAACAAGAAAAACUGCUUGCCAACUGGCUCCUUCUGGCUCUAGCCUUGCUUCAGCUGGUUCAUGGCAGAGGCUCUUCAUCCUUCCUCUGGAAGAUUGCUGACACCAACAAAGAUGUGUGGACUUUCAGGGUAGAAGGAAGGAACGUGAAAACUCAGGGAGAGGCAAGUGAGAGGAGCUAGAGCCAUUGGCUGAAGACCUCAGUUCAAACUCCUUCAAGGAAGGUCUUUGAACAUGCAGAGCCUCAGUUGUCUCACCUGUAAAAUGGAGUUUCUGUCACCUGCUGAUCCCUACUCCUGACUUGCAGGGUCAGUUGAGCUCAUGUGUGUGUGAGAGGCCCAUGGAGUGGUCAGGAGUUUUCAUGCUGAAAUCAGCACUACCACUUUCUAGCUGAGCACCUGUCUCAGUUGCUGGUCAGCAAUGGGGGACAGAACCUUCCUGACAGAGCUGCUGUAUAAAUUCAGAGAGCUUCCAUGCUCAAAGUGCCCAGUGCCAUUCCUGGCACCCAGGUGCAGCCUCUAUUCUCAGGGGACUACACUGUGUGGGAGAGAGGCAAUGCACACGUGUAGAAAGUGGCUCUGUGGGUAGAGUGCCUACGUGUCUCCUGAAUAUGUCCACUGUCCUGGCAUAAUUACCAAUAGCAACCCCUUUCACACUCAAAAGUCUUCUAACUUAGAAGAUAAAUUUUAUAGUCACUUUCACUAUGAAGAAAAUGAAAGAGCAUUUAGUGAGAGAGUGACCAGAUCAGACAUCGUUAGAUGGGUCAGAAAGGCCACUCAGAGGAUACGAUGUGUUCAUUAAGACCUGAAUGAAGGGAAGGAGUCAGCCAUGCAUCAGUGUGGUGAAUUAGCUUUCCAGUAGAGGGGAGAGCAGAGGCUCUGUGGCAGCCUUGAGCUUCAGAUGUUGGAGGAACAAGAAGGCUAACAGUGUAGUUAGAGCAAAUUGAACAGAGAGAAUAGUGCAAAAAGAGGGCCUAGGAAUAGCCAGGGACACAUCAUAGACUUCUUCUGAACAUUUUAGUCCCAUGACCUCAAACCUCAUACAGUGUCUCUCUUUUUUUCUUUUUUUUUUUUUUUUGGAGAUGGAGUCUCGUUCUGUCACCAGGCUGGAGUGCUAUAGCUCGAUCUCGGCUCACUGUAACCUCCACCUCCCAGGUUCAAGCAAUUCUCCUGCUGAGCCUCCUGAGUAGCUGGGAUUACAGGUGCCUGCCACCAUGCCCAGCUAAUUGUUGUAUUUUUAGUAGAAACGGGGGUUUCAACAUGUUAGUCAAGCUGGUCUCAAACUCCUGACCUCAGGUGAUUCAUCCGCCUCAGCCUCCCAAAGUGCUGGGAUUACAGGCGUGAGCCACCACGCCGGGCCCACAUUCUCUUUUGUCUUAAGCUGGUUUGAGUCAAGUUUUCUUUACUUGCACAUGGUAAAUGUGCAAUAUUUAAUAAUAUAAAAUAUCAACACUGGUAGUCUCAUGUAGGAUUAGAGAGCUUUUACUUUUAAAAGUUUGCUUCUCUGAAUUUUAUGCAAUGAACUUGGAUUACUUUUGUAAUUAAACAAACAGGUUAUAUAAAAGAUAUUGUAUGUCUUCCCCAUGCACAGUAGCCGAACCAAUUCUUCCCUCCUGACAGCCAAUAAAGGCCCAGUGAAAAAAAAGGAGAGGAAGAGAAGACCAACAGCCUGUGAAGUUCAUGUAAUUGCCAACAGGGGGGUUGAGAAUUCACCAAGGGAAGAGGAGAAUAAGCACCGUGUGGAUGGAGCUUCUCCCUGGUGCAGAUGGAAAAUUCAGGGAGACACAGAUUGACUUAGUACUUAAUAUUAGUUGUUGGUCCUUCUUUAAGUUGAAUGCCUCCUCCACAGUCUCUGCUCCCAGAAGGCCACAGUUAUGGCUGAUGACUCUCUGAAUCUGCAGCUGCUGAUGUGCAGUAAGUAUCACUGAUAUUUGGCAACUGGCCUAUUGAGCACAGAGCAUGGCCUCUAUUAUCCUCAAGAAGGCCCCAUCCAACCAAGGCUGGCCAUAGAGGAGAGUGAGAGGACAUCCAUGAAGGGCCUGAGAAGAACCUACAAGUCACAGAGAAGACUGCUGGGCCAGACAAAUGGACCCUCUCUCAAUCUGUUAGAACAGAAGGGACCUCCAUUCAGUCCAGAGAUCACAGACGCCUGGCAUGAAGGAUGCUUUGCCCAUUUCACUUAUGCCCAUGGCAGAGAUUCAUGGCACACCCUCUGUAUUAGGGUUCUCCAGAGAAAC